UUACAGGAGAAGAUAGCAGUAUGCCGUGAGAUUUACAACAUUUAUGGAGAAACUGAGGAAAACUGGAAAGAACUUGCGGCAGCUUCACUUGGCUAUUUACUAGGACAGACUGUCAAGAAAGAUAGUAUCAGCACAAUCCUUGCCACAGCAAGUUAUGAUAGAACUAAUUAUGAACUGGCAGCGAGGAUUUUUGAUGAUUAUAGACAAAGUCACCCUGACAAAAGUUUUCCACAACUUCUGUUCAGAAGACUAUUGGGAAUUUCUGAAAAGUGCCGCACACCAUACCUAUCAAGAAGUAUAGGCACAAAUGGUCUUAAGCAGGCACGUCAAGUGCAGAAAGACAUUUGCACUGAGAACCUGAAAAACCUGUUUGUAAGGGAACUAGAGGUAGCUGACUGGGCUGAGGCGGAAGACAUAUAUCCAGAUGAGACAAUCGAAUUAAUGGAAU